GGGUGCAGGACAGUGGUGACCAGGACCCUGCUCCACCUGCUUGGGCACGACCUCACUCAGCGUGUCCCCCACCCCCAGGCACAGAGGCCCCCUUCUGGGUCUUGGCGUCCUGUGCCCUCCCUCAGGCUUUCUGAACCCUUUCCCUUGGGAGAAGAGUGGUCCCCCACACCAUAAGUGGCUGUGAUAGAGGAGCAGGAGAGCCCCACGGGUGGCUGGGGAACAGCUGAAGAUAAGGGAACUGGGCAGAGGAUGGAGCUGGGAAGGAAAGCCUCAUCUUUGUAUUUGGCACAUAGUAGUAACUCAAUAAAUGUCGAAUGAAUGAA